AGACGGGGGCCCGCACAAGCGGUGGAGCAUGUGGUUUAAUUCGAUGCAACGCGAAGAACCUUACCUGGUCUUGACAUCCACGGAAGUUUUCAGAGAUGAGAAUGUGCCUUCGGGAACCGUGAGACAGGUGCUGCAUGGCUGUCGUCAGCUCGUGUUGUGAAAUGUUGGGUUAAGUCCCGCAACGAGCGCAACCCUUAUCCUUUGUUGCCAGCGGUCCGGCCGGGAACUCAAAGGAGACUGCCAGUGAUAAACUGGAGGAAGGUGGGAUGACGUCAAGUCAUCAUGGCCCUUACGACCAGGGCUACACACGUGCUACAAUGGCGCAUACAAAGAGAAGCGACCUCGCGAGAGCAAGCGGACCUCAUAAAGUGCGUCGUAGUCCGGAUUGGAGUCUGCAACUCGACUCCAUGAAGUCGGAAUCGCUAGUAAUCGCGGAUCAGCACGCCGCGGUGAAUACGUUCCCGGGCCUU
rnacentral:rRNA from 1 species